rnacentral:tRNA from 1 species
UGUCCUGUGGUGUAAUUGGCAACACGUCUGAUUCUGGAUCAGAAGAGUUUAGGUUCGAAACCUAACAGGACAA